CCAGACAGCCAGGAUGUUGGCUUAGAAGCAGCCAUCAUUUAAAGAAAGCGUAAUAGCUCACUGGUCGAGUCGGCCUGCGCGGAAGAUGUAACGGGGCUAAACCAUGCACCGAAGCUGCGGCAGCGACACUCUGUGUUGUUGGGUAGGGGAGCGUUCUGUAAGCCGUUGAAGGUGUGCUGUGAGGCAUGCUGGAGGUAUCAGAAGUGCGAAUGCUGACAUAAGUAACGAUAAUGCGGGUGAAAAACCCGCACGCCGGAAGACCAAGGGUUCCUGUCCAACGUUAAUCGGGGCAGGGUGAGUCGACCCCUAAGGCGAGGCCGAAAGGCGUAGUCGAUGGGAAACAGGUUAAUAUUCCUGUACUUGGUGUUACUGCGAAGGGGGGACGGAGAAGGCUAUGUUAGCCGGGCGACGGUUGUCCCGGUUUAAGCAUGUAGGCGGAGCGUUUAGGUAAAUCCGGACGCUUAUUAACGCUGAGGUGUGAUGACGAGGCACUACGGUGCUGAAG
rnacentral:rRNA from 1 species